CACAGAAGAGUCAAUCCUCCGUCUCAGUUGGAAAGCUACUUUUGUUGAGGCUAGAGGUUAACUCCAGCUUCCUCACAUUCAAGGCAAACAAGGAACUCAACCACCCAGGCAACAGCAGGGCUCUGAAUACAGGAAGAAAAGGCAAUGAACCACAGUAAUGUGCAGACAGAAAGAGGGACAGCAGUGGGAGCUGAGCAGUGCAUCUGCUGGUGUUGCUAACAGUGGCUGCAAGCCUCGAGGGAGCCGCUCAGCGUGAGCUGUGUUCCUGCGGUAAAGGCACAAGUACAGUGGGAGUGUAAGGAAGAUGAAAAUGAGGAGAAAAUUCCUUCUUAGCGCAUUUAGCAAACUCAGCCACAUUGCAAGGUAGAGCUGUAGGAGAUGGUGGUUGGAUAUUAAUAGGUGACAUUAAAUAAUUGCCGAAUGUAAA